rnacentral:rRNA from 1 species
UACGGGGGGGGCAAGCGUUGUUCGGAAUUACUGGGCGUAAAGGCUCGUAGGCGGCCAACUAAGUCGGACGUGAAAUCCCCAGGCUCAACCUGGGAACUGCGUCCGAUACUGGAUGGCUUGAAUUCGGGAGAGGGAUGCAGAAUUCCAGGUGUAGCGGUGAAAUGCGUAGAUAUCUGGAGGAAUACCGGUGGCGAAGGCGGCAUCCUGGACCGACAUUGACGCUGAGGAGCGAAAGCUAGGGGAGCAAACGGG